rnacentral:tRNA from 1 species
GUUCCUAUAGUUGAGGUAUAACAACAAUGGUUUUUCAGGCCAUAGACCAUGGAUGGAUCCAAGUGGGAACU